ACUUCUUCCCUUAGAUUUUUCUUAGUAUGAGGUGAAACACCUUGGACUAAGAACAAUCUCAGUGAACAAUU
rnacentral:miRNA from 1 species